UUUUUUUUAAAUGCACCAAAGGCCUCGGACACACUUUUGGUCGUAUUGUGCUCCGAUCAUCUCAAGACAGAAGGCCGCACAUAUAAAGAUUCCGUUCCAGCCGCGCUCGUGACGCAGGAGGUGGAGCUGCCGCCCCAUGAUGAUGAUGUCAUCGCCAGUAUGAAAAUGACAUCACCGUGACAUGAUUAUGACAUCCCUGCAUUAUGAUGAUGACACCACCAUGUAAGAUGACAUCACCACAUAUAACAACAUAACUGGAUGAUGCCAUCACUACCGAUGACAUCACCACAUGAUAUGACAUUAUCAGACAUGAUUAUGGUAUCGCCGUGUAUAAUGAUGACAUAGCAACAUGUGGAUGUGAUGUCAUCGCUACCACACGAUGAUGUCAUCAUCACGCACCUUGUUUGACUUGCCAAGAAAUCCAAAGGAGACGUUGGUGGUGGUGAAAGUAUGCGUCUUGUUACCAUGGUAACAACAAACAACCAAGCAACAAAGUCAAAAUCCUCCGCCAGUCCGUCUGUCAGGCAGUCCGGUUCAAGGCGCCAUCAAGGCCGCCAUCUUGUUCGGAGUGAAGAUCUCGAUCCAGUAGCCGUCGGGAUCCUGAACGAAGGCCAGACCUUUCCUCUUGCCUGCCGAGGCCACAACAAGCAGUCGGCACGGUAACAAACGCUCGGACUUCCGUUUUUAACAAUUCCGUUGUAGUCGUUAGGGAUUAAGUGAUUCGUGUAUAAAAAUCGUAUAUUUGGGAGGAGCGGUCUCAACCAUUCGUCAUUCCCGACUCCCCAAUCACUACAAAGUGAUUUUUGGGGACGUUCUAUCUAAGUCCACUAUGUACAAAAAAAAAAAAAAAUCAUGUUUAUUUUGUUUAUGUUGUGUGUGUUUACCAGAGUGUGGUUUCUUGAUGAAGGUGACGCCCAGAGAUUGAAACAAGUGGCAAGCGAUGCCAACGUCGGGCACGGCAAUGCCGAUGUGACCUUCAAUUUAAAAAAUAUAUCAAUAAAUAAACAUGAAAUGAUAUUCAUAUAUUUCAUAUUGUGAACGAGCAGCUGCAGUUCUCACCAAAGCCAAUAGGGUCGCUGUUUCCGUUGUGAUAAGACAAACUUGCAUCUGACUCGGACCCCCAGUUACUGGCACGCAGGCGCACAAAUAAAUCAUAAUAAAUGUAUGAUUUUUUGAUAUAACACUUGAAGUUAUUAUAUGAAGAACUAUGACUAAAUAAUGUUAAUAAUAAUGCUUUAAUGUCUAUUACUAUUGUUGUUUUUUGCUUGCAUAAAAAGAUGAAAGAUUUA